rnacentral:lncRNA from 1 species
CUGCGACUCUUCAAUAAAUAAAAAAUUAUGAGAGGUCAGGUUCGAUGCUCCUAGUUGGUGAGUGUAAUUGACUCUAGCCACGGGUAGGAUGAAAUUUCUCAUAGUUUUUCCAGACCCUGAAUGAGUGGAUAAUCGUAACUUGUUAACUGUUGUCCUCCUUUUUAAGAAUACUGUUUCUAGAAAAAGUAAAAAUACUUUAGGGCACCGUUUGGAGAUUUAUUUGGGCCAUAUUAGAGAUUGUAUCUAGAAAAGGUAAAAAUACUUUGAGUACUAAAAACGUAUUUUAUUACGGUUGGUAGAAAAAUCUAACAAUGUUCAAUCGCUUAUGGGUCAAUGAAACAUUUUUUUUUCAAAGAAUCACUAGGAAAAGCACAUGAAGUUUGUAUAAAAAUUUCAACAUGUUUUUAAUAAAAAAUAUUUUUGCAUAACCGGGUUUAUAAUUCUUUUCUAAAAAGGGACCGGUUGGUGUCCACCUUUACAGAGUUCGAAAAAGUUCUCAAAGGAAUUUUAGCCUCUCUUUGUCCAACAUCAUGUGAUUCACUAAUGUCAGAAAUCGAACUCAAAACGUGUCGCAUAGAAUGUGCCUAAAAUUGAAAUUCAUCUCAACCACUAGGUUAGCCAAUGAGCUUAACCGGGUUUUUUUCAAAACUAAAAUAAAAUAAGGAAUUGGGUAGGUGUUAGCUGGUAACCAACUUUAAUGGUUACCAUCGUAUUACUUAAUAAAAUAAGAAAACUUUAACGAAAAACUCCCAAUAUUGUUCACUUUAACGAAAAACUACAUUUUUACACUAAAAAGUCAAUCUCCCUUUAUUUUGUCCUUAUCGUUAAAACUUCAAGGGCGCAUUUGUUUGGCCUCUUUAAGUCUCACUGGACUGGACUAAGUUAGGUAGGAGUCUUAGCCCGUGUUUGGCGCAAACAAAGACUGCCUUUAAUGAAACUAAGUCGGACUCGCACCGACUAAAAGCUUCACUAGCUGUUCUUAGCUGGUCCCCCCGAAAACUGGCAGAUUGCUAAUCCCGUCUCUAGCGCCCACGUCGUCUGCAAGCAUGCAUCCCAUAUCUCCUUCUUCCCGUGAACCCAGUUACCAAAUCAUGCCUUCCACCCUUUUCUCCAGUCACCAAAUCUGAAACGGCUUUGCCCAUUUUGUCCCGCAAACCCAACCCCCUCUUUGUUUCAGAGAUGAAUUCAUUCGGUUAAGCUUCCAAUAAGCUUAAUCCACACCCUACACAACACUACAAUUCGAAGAUUAAACCUUAUAAAUCCCAAAUAUAGAAAAUAUCAAAAUCUGCAAUAAACCUAGAAAUCUAUUACCUUGGGUUGCUGUGCACUUCUCCAGAAAUCUGUAAGCAAAAAACGAAAGACCUCCAAAAAUCCACAAUGCUCUUCUCCAGAAACCUAGAAAUCUAUUACCUUGAUUUGGGAUUUUUGUGAAAAAAAGAGAGCUAUCUCUGGUUAGAGGAACAAGAAGAAAGACUUGUUGGUCUUUGAUCCAAAUUAGGUGCAAAAUGCACAGCUUCCUCCGUUGAAGAAGAAAACAGGGAGAAAAAGGGGAGAAAAAAGAGAGAUGAGAGGGAGACGGUGUGCCGAAGAAAACGAGGGAGAAUGGUGGAAAAAUGGUGGAUGUUUCCUAAAAAAAGGAAGAGAAUCCAAAAAGAAAAAAAUAAAUUAAAAAUAAAAUAGAUAAAAUAUUAAUAGAUACAUAAAAUAUUGAUAGAUAUAAAUAUAAUAUUAUAGUUUAUUAAUU